GGAGCAACAGGGAAAGAAGAGCUUUAGAAAAGGCAGUUUAAUUAACACCGUCRUCUGAAGAUCAGUGUUCUCCUCUUUCCCGGUUCAGGUUCCUCAGCCACAACAAGAUCGCCCAGCUGAAGCCCAGGGUUUUUGAGGACCUCCAUCGCCUSGAGUGGCUGAUGCUGGACAACAACCGGAUCGCCCGGGUGGCCCCGGCCGCCUUCGCGGGGCUGAGGUCGCUGUAUUUCCUGUACCUGCUGAACAACUCGCUGRGCAGGAUGCCCAGUGCCUCCCUGUGCGCCGAGGCGCCGAAGCUCAGCUGGC
rnacentral:lncRNA from 1 species